GUUAAGCACACCUCAAGAUGAGAUUUCCCAUUUCUUUAAGACAGUAAGAUCACAUAGAGAUGAUCAGGUAGAUAGGUCAGGAGUGGAAGUACAGUGAUGUAUGGAGCGGACUGAUACUAAUCGAUCGAGGACUUAACCAAU
rnacentral:rRNA from 1 species